GGGUGCUAUAAUGCAGUCGAGCGGACAGAUGGGAGCUUGCUCCCUGAUGUUAGCGGCGGACGGGUGAGUAACACGUGGGUAACCUGCCUGUAAGACUGGGAUAACUCCGGGAAACCGGGGCUAAUACCGGAUGCUUGUUUGAACCGCAUGGUUCAGACAUAAAAGGUGGCUUCGGCUACCACUUACAGAUGGACCCGCGGCGCAUUAGCUAGUUGGUGAGGUAACGGCUCACCAAGGCAACGAUGCGUAGCCGACCUGAGAGGGUGAUCGGCCACACUGGGACUGAGACACGGCCCAGACUCCUACGGGAGGCAGCAGUAGGGAAUCUUCCGCAAUGGACGAAAGUCUGACGGAGCAACGCCGCGUGAGUGAUGAAGGUUUUCGGAUCGUAAAGCUCUGUUGUUAGGGAAGAACAAGUGCCGUUCAAAUAGGGCGGCACCUUGACGGUACCUAACCAGAAAGCCACGGCUAACUACGUGCCAGCAGCCGCGGUAAUACGUAGGUGGCAAGCGUUGUCCGGAAUUAUUGGGCGUAAAGGGCUCGCAGGCGGUUUCUUAAGUCUGAUGUGAAAGCCCCCGGCUCAACCGGGGAGGGUCAUUGGAAACUGGGGAACUUGAGUGCAGAAGAGGAGAGUGGAAUUCCACGUGUAGCGGUGAAAUGCGUAGAGAUGUGGAGGAACACCAGUGGCGAAGGCGACUCUCUGGUCUGUAACUGACGCUGAGGAGCGAAAGCGUGGGGAGCGAACAGGAUUAGAUACCCUGGUAGUCCACGCCGUAAACGAUGAGUGCUAAGUGUUAGGGGGUUUCCGCCCCUUAGUGCUGCAGCUAACGCAUUAAGCACUCCGCCUGGGGAGUACGGUCGCAAGACUGAAACUCAAAGGAAUUUGACGGGGGGCCCGCACAAGCGGUGGAGCAUGUGGUUUAAUUUCGAAGCAACGCGAAGAAUCUUUACCAGGUCUUGACAUCCUCUGACAAUCCUAGAGAUAGGACGUCCCCUUCGGGGGCAGAGUGACAGGUGGUGCAUGGCUUGUCGUCAGCUCGUGUCGUGAGAUGUUGGGUUUAGUCCCGCACGAGCGCAACCCUUUGA
rnacentral:rRNA from 1 species